CCGCAGGCUAGGAGGCCCUAGCGGUGCGGGGAGGGAAGUUCCCAAGAAGGGGUCGCUGCCGCCAGCUGCUGGGAGAUCAUCUGGCUUUCAGCAGAGAGGCCGGUGGGGGAGGCUGUCACACUCCCCAGCCAGCUAGGGGUGCAGCCAGCGCGAACCCAGCGGCUCCCAGAAAGCGAUAGUAACGCCUCUGUUUUGCUGAUGGGGCGCCUUCACAGAGGGGGGUCUAUAGAACUUGAAGUGGGGGGGGGACACUUUUUCCACUAGCCCCUUCCCUCCCGGGUGCUCUCCAGUUGGGAGGGGGCUGCAGAUGCCAUCUUUGGCCGACCCCGCCGAUCAUUUCCCCCCUCCUGCAAAUCAAGAUCUUUCACUGGCUCCUCCGGGGGCUCUGGGGGUGUUUUGGGGUAGGGGAGCUUAUGCCUUCCCGGGGAGGAAGUGUGGAGUUGGGGCCCCACCUGGCCUCCACUUACCCCUCAGACUCUGACAGCAAACUGGACUCUGCAGGGAAAGCGCAGCGGUUACCUUGCCCAGGGAGAGGGGGCCUGUGGCGGGAUCCUCAGGAAUGUUGCAGAUGGAGGCUCUCCCUAAUCUCCACCCAGGAGGGAGGCAAAGGUGGGGGUGUGAGAAAGAGGGCAGAUGAAAUGAGCCCCCAGCUCUGUAAUUUGGAGGGGACCCCCCAGUUGUAGGGAAAGCCACAUCCAUAGCAAGGAAGGCUUUUCUGUAUGCCCCGGAGACUAGCCUCUCAACUCUUACGUUGGCGGGAGAAGCCUCGCUUGACCUUGCGCCUUGGGGUGGGGAAACCGAGGCCCAGUAAGGCCCUGGCCUGGAUCAGCCAGCGCUGCCAGGAGAACGCCUCUCCAUCUUUUCUCUCUACCCCCCAAGACAGACCAUCACUGCAUUUGAGCCUCCCGCAGCCGCCUCAGUGCAGGCCGAGAGUGGAGACAAUGAAUUUAGAAAUGCUUCUGUGGCCCCACGGCCCCUGCUUCCCAGGCGCACAGGCCCAGGGACCAGUUGGGAAUCUGGUGAUGACAAGAGAGUAGCAGCUGUCACCGACACAGUGAUAACAUCAGGACUUCUCAACCGCUGGCUCUCUCCAGACAUUAGAUUUCACCUCUGGGGUCCGUCUAGUUGUUAAGCCAAAUGCCUCCGUUCAAGGUUUUAGCAACGCACCUACAGAAACGCAGCUGGCCUUGCCUUGGUAACCUGAUGGGCAGAGUCAGAGUCCAGAAAUUUCUAGGCAGACAUCAGAUGGCUUUCUUCUGAGGCUGACUUAUUUUACCGUAACGUCUCUCUUCAAGGGUUCGGUAAGGUGGAGCCCGUACAGAAAUGCAAAUGGCUCUUCUUGAUCUAACUCUCUCAUAAAAACGCACGCCCAUGAGCGGUUAGGCAGUUCCUAGGGACAGCGGCUCUGCAGGGACUGCCAGUGCCUCCAACUGUCUGCACCUCUUUGUCUCCUCCAAGAAUUAAAACUACAUUUUCUCAAGCAUGAAAAUAAAACAAAAAGUAAAAAAAAAACUCUGAGCAGGUUUUUAUUACCCUUUUGUAAUAUUAUUAAUCCAU